rnacentral:rRNA from 1 species
GACGAACGCUGGCGGCGUGCUUAACACAUGCAAGUCGAACGGAAAGGCCCUGCUUUUGUGGGGUGCUCGAGUGGCGAACGGGUGAGUAACACGUGAGUAACCUGCCCUUGACUUUGGGAUAACUUCAGGAAACUGGGGCUAAUACCGGAUAGGAGCUCCUGCUGCAUGGUGGGGGUUGGAAAGUUUCGGCGGUUGGGGAUGGACUCGCGGCUUAUCAGCUUGUUGGUGGGGUAGUGGCUUACCAAGGCUUUGACGGGUAGCCGGCCUGGGAGGGUGACCGGCCACAUUGGGACUGAGAUACGGCCCAGACUCCUACGGGAGGCAGCAGUGGGGAAUAUUGCACAAUGGGCGGAAGCCUGAUGCAGCAACGCCGCGUGCGGGAUGACGGCCUUCGGGAUGUAAACCGCUUUCGCCUGUGACGAAGCGUGAGUGACGGUAAUGGGUAAAGAAGCACCGGCUAACUACGU